UACAGAGGGUGCGAGCGUUAAUCGGAAUUACUGGGCGUAAAGCGUGCGUAGACGGUUAUUUAAGUCGGGUGGGAAAGCCCCGGGCUCAACCUGGGAAUUGCAUUCGAGACUGAAUAGCUAGGGUACGGUAGAGGGAAGCGGAAUUUCCGGUGUAGCGGUGAAAUGCGUAGAUAUCAAGAGGAACACCUGAGGCGAAGGCGGGUUGCUAGGCUGACACUGACGCUGAGGCGCGAAAGCCAGGGGAGCAAACGGG
rnacentral:rRNA from 1 species